GCCAGCAGUGCACUAAACUGAUGCUGUGACUAAAAAUGCACAGUUCAGCAACAUCAGUUCUGCAUGGUUUUUAGGUAAAGAGAACUCUUACUUUAUUACUUUUAUCUUGUACCUCUGGGCAUAAAACCUGAGCUACAAUAAUAGUAAUUUUCAGUUUGUGUUUAGUUUGAAUUGAUUAAUAAAACUAAAAAGAAGUUCUGAUAGAAGGCAGACUAAUUAAAAAGGAAACAACAGCUUAUAUUUCAGUUCAUAAAGGUACAUUAAUGACAGUAUGCAUAGAUAAAGAGGUUGAUCUACAACUGCCUUCUCUCUUCUCAAGACCGUGCUGCAAAGCAGAGUAGGUGAAUCCUGCUGUUGUCUUUCCGGGCAUAGGCACAGGAUUAUACAAAAAGUUCUUCAGCGAUUAAUCACAGAAGUGUUUUAUAGACCAAGAAAGUGAAAGAUACGCAUGACAGGAGGCUAGGCUGCAUUUUCUCAGUGUCAGCCAAGUUCUUAGCUGUCCAUUCUACAAAAUCCGGCAUUAAAUGUUCUCUGGAUGAAGCCCGGAUCUGCAGAGCAGAAUUCAGAAACAGCAGGGAAAUUGUGUAGCUUGCUGAAUGUCCCUCAAAACUGAGGGCAAUAAACAGAAAAUAGAACUGGAUAGAGCAUCAGGAUAAGAAGGUUAAAUGUUUCAAGUACUUCUAGAUCAUUCAGAAUACAACACAACUAUACAAUAUGAAUAAAUCUUAAGUAUGGGUUCUGAUACGUACUUCUUUUACUCCCGAUUUUACAAUAUAUCUGCUAGAUUGUGCUACAGAAUUUGAAUGUAAAUGCAAUUAAAUCUAGAUAAAACAAAGCAGUUAUCUCACAGGUAAAUAAUAUUUACAUUCCCGCUCAAAACAAAAACAAAAACAAAAAAACACAUUAACAAGAACUCACCCAAGUAACGCUACUUGCUACAUUUGGGACACGUUAUAGAACAGAUUUUUUUACAAGGGUCCCCUUACAAGGGUCCCUAUGAAGUUGAACAGGUUCUAGAAAUAUGGAAGGUCACAGCAGGGGUAAUUGUUUCAUAUAAUUUGUUGGGAAAAUGAUUGGG